AACGGGUUAUUACGGACCGACUCA
rnacentral:siRNA from 1 species